CUGUAUAUAACUUGUAAUUUACCUUAGGGGGAUAGUGAAGGUUAAAAUCUGUAUAUAACUUGUAAUUUACCUUAGGGGGAUAGUGAAGGUUAAAAUCUGUAUAUAACUUGUAAUUUACCUUAGGGGGAUAGUGAAGGUUAAAAUCUGUAUAUAACUUGUAAUUUA